GUUUGCAGGAAUGUGCCCUAUCUGUAACCAUGGCAGCAUUCAGGGCCAAGGUGAAGAGCACAGCUCCAGAAACUGCCUCAGUUUACUGUCCAAGGUGCUUGGCUGAGUCACCUAACUUCUCAAUACCUCAGCUUCCUCCUCUGUAUGACAGUACUUACACCCUAAGGCCCCUGAAGAGAUCAACUGAGUGAAACCAUGUGGCAGUGUCUGAUCCCUCCUGGGUGUCUUAUGCAUCAGAAGACUCCUAUCACGAAUACUGAAUCUCUCUCAGGUAGUGUAAUCUCCCAUUCCCAUUUGUUAUUUACCUCAUAGCUCUAUGUGUGGUGUUUUUCAGUGUGGAAAUUAACAUGUUAUGUAUCUAAAGAUUCUGCUUUUCUGCCUUUGAUUUGGUCAGAGUGCUGAGCGUGUACUCAAUGACCAAGGGACACAUCUGGCAAAAAGUCAGCCCUAGAAGGGGAACAGGUGAGGACACUGUUAUUUCUGGAGCUCUUCAUCCACCAGGACAUGCCAGGAACACACGCCACACAUUGUCAAGGCCCUGAAUGGCGAGCUGUCAAUCCUUCCUGUUCUUCCAUCACCUGAAUGACUUGGCUUGGGGAUUAAAAAUUUUAGUGUCAGCUGGGCACUGAGUGGACAUCAGUAGGUACCUAAAGGUUUACAAAUCUCUAUGUUCACACAGCUUAUCCAUGCAGUAGUGCCUGGCAAGUCCCUAAGGCCAUUAGGCUUUUCAAACUAAGAUGUUCUACUUUAAAAUUCAUGUUUAAAACAGAUACUUAACUAUAAAACUGUAAUACAUUGUAUGACUUAGAAUUAAAGAAAAAAUUUUAGCUGCUCUUGUUUGAAAUGGCUAAAAUUA